CCUGGCGAUGCCUGUCAAGUAGCCGUAACAUAGAGAGCAUGAAACUCUCUCCUCUCUGCCUGAUCGGGCCAAGCUAAGGCUUUAAAGAACCGCUGCUGUUUUGCUGCACCGAAAAGAGACGGGUUUCUGACGCAGGGUCAUCACCCGUACUGCUGAUCCUGUGUGACUGUUUUUAUAAAUUGUAUUUUUACUAUUGUAUACAAAUAAACUGUUCUAUUUUUGAUAAUUGGA